GUGCUUGCUUCAGCAGCACAUAUACUAAAAUAGGAACUAUACAGAGAAGAUUAACAUGGCCCCCACACAAAGACAACAUGCAAUUUCAUGAAAUAGUCCAUAUUUUU
ensembl:snRNA LOC120099401 U6 spliceosomal RNA